rnacentral:rRNA from 1 species
AUGACUCCAUUUCUGAAGCAGUCAGGCAUGCUACAACGGCAGCAUCAGAUGGCACCGAUACAGCCCUGGCAGCAGAACCAGGCCACCAGGAUGCCCAGGAACGCGCCGGCGAAGACCUGCGACGGGGUGUGCCCUAGCAGCUCCUUGAGCUUCCUUUCGCUGAUGGGGUGGCCUUGGAACAGGUCCUCAACGAUCUUAUUGAGCACCUGCAUCCCGGCGUGGCGCCGGACGCCCGUGGCGUCGUACAUGACGAUAAGGCUGAAGCCGAGGCAGACGGGAAAGAGCGCGUCGCCGACGCCGUGGCAGAGCGCGACGGAGGCGGUGAGCGCGGUGCAGAGCGCGGAGUGCGAGGAGGGCAUGCCCCCGGAGCUGCACAGCGUCCGCAGGCUCCACCGCCGCUCCACCACGGAGGUGAGCAGGGCCUUGGUGGCCUGCGCCACCGCGAACGCCACCAUCCCCGACACGAACGUCGGGUUCGACGCCAGCGCCAGCAGGUACGGGCUCUCCCGCGCCUUGGUCACCGCCGCCGCCGUCGUGCUCAUCAGCAGCGUCCCUAUCCCCGCCCCGCCUCCUCCUGCCGCGGCCAGGCCCGGAAGCUCCCCCCGCGCGCGCCCUCCCCGCAUCGCGGCGGCGAGGAGCCGGGAGAGCGACGGCGGCGGCCGCGAGGACGAGGGCGACGGCGCGGCGGCAUCGGCAGGCACGGAUGCUAGUGUUUGGAGACAACAACGGCGGUGGUGGCGCGGGGACUUUGGCGGCCUGGAGAAGUGGUCGAGGAGGCUGGGGAAAGCGCUAGAGAAGCGGCUGGAGCUGAGCACCUCCAUGGCUGCUGCUCCGCAUCGCCGCCGGAGGACCCCGCGAGUGAGCGCGAACGGAGGAGCUGGUGUGGCCGUGGCGAUUGCGUGGGGGCUUAGCGCUGACAGACACCUCACUGGACGGAAGUCCGAAAUGCCCCUGAUGUUUCUCGAGUCUACGGGGCGCGCAGCGGCGGGCACUCUGGGGAUUUCCAUGCAGCACGCCGGAGCUCCAGUCAUCCGGUGGGCAUAUUACCGCGAAGAUUCUGGGACGAGGUCGCCGUCUUGA